ACGGCUCAGUAACACGUGGAUAACCUACCCUGCGGUGGGAAAUAACCCCGGGAAACUGGGGAUAAUGUCCCAUAGAUUACGGAUACUGGAAUGUUCUGUAGUCCAAAGAUUUAUCGCCACAGGAUGGGUCUGCGGCCGAUUAGGUUGUUGUUGGGGUAACGGCCCAACAAGCCUUUGAUCGGUACGGGUUGUGGGAGCAAGAGCCCGGAGAUGGAUUCUGAGACACGAAUCCAGGCCCUACGGGGCGCAGCAGGCGCGAAAACUUUACAAUGCGGGAAACCGUGAUAAGGGGACACCGAGUGCCAGCAUCAUAUGCUGGCUGUCCAGGUGUGUAAAAUACACCUGUCAGCAAGGGCCGGGCAAGACCGGUGCCAGCCGCCGCGGUAACACCGGCGGCCCGAGUGGUGAUCGUGAUUAUUGGGUCUAAAGGGUCCGUAGCCGGUUUGGUCAGUCCUCCGGGAAAUCUGACGGCUCAACCGUUAGGCUUUCGGGGGAUACUGCCAGGCUUGGAACCGGGAGAGGUAAGAGGUACUACAGGGGUAGGAGUGAAAUCUUGUAAUCCCUGUGAGACCACCUGUGGCGAAGGCGUCUUACCAGAACGGGUUCGACGGUGAGGGACGAAAGCUGGGGGCACGAACCGGAUUAGAUACCCGGGUAGUCCCAGCCGUAAACGAUGCUCGCUAGGUGUCAGGCAUGGCGCGACCGUGUCUGGUGCCGCAGGGAAGCCGUGAAGCGAGCCACCUGGGAAGUACGGCCGCAAGGCUGAAACUUAAAGGAAUUGGCGGGGGAGCACAAU
rnacentral:rRNA from 1 species